rnacentral:rRNA from 1 species
GAAACGAACGCUAAUACCGCAUAAUGUCAGAGGACGGCAUCGUCUUUUGACCAAAGAUUUAUCGCUGAAAGAUGGGCUCGCGGCCGAUUAGGUAGUUGGUGAGAUAAUAGCCCACCAAGCCGACGAUCGGUAGCCGGACUGAGAGGUUGAACGGCCACAUUGGGACUGAGACAUGGCCCAGACUCCUACGGGAGGCAGCAGUGGGGGAUAUUGCACAAUGGGGGAAACCCUGAUGCAGCGACGCCGCGUGAGGGAAGACGGCCUUCGGGUUGUAAACCUCUGUCUUCGGGGACGAAUAAUGACGGUACCCGAGGAGGAAGCCACGGCUAACUACGUGCCAGCAGCCGCGGUAAUACGUAGGUGGCAAGCGUUGUCCGGAAUUACUGGGUGUAAAGGGAGCGUAGGCGGGGAGGCAAGUUGAAUGUCUAAACUAUCGGCUCAACUGAUAGUCGCGUUCAAAACUGCCACUCUUGAGUGCAGUAGAGGUAGGCGGAAUUCCUAGUGUAGCGGUGAAAUGCGUAGAUAUUAGGAGGAACACCAGUGGCGAAGGCGGCCUACUGGGCUGCAACUGACGCUGAGGCUCGAAAGCGUGGGUAGCAAACAGGAUUAGAUACCCUGGUAGUCCACGCCGUAAACGAUGAUUGCUAGGUGUGGGGGGACUGACCCCUUCCGUGCC